UUGUGUUUUAUUCUUCAUUUGUUGUUCCUCAGCCACGUAAAAUAGGUUUCUCCAGUUUUGGCCACCGUAAGAAGCGCACUCACGAGUCCACUGACUACAUCUGCCCUCUGGAUGCUUCACAAGACCAGGCCCUGCUCAAUGGGGCCAACCGGCCCUACAGCGGCUUCAGGGGCCUGAGCCCCAUCUUUGACCGGGACCCAGAGAGACAGGAGCAGGUGGGAGUUCUACAGAUCUGACGCUCUGCUAGCCGUCACCGCUGAGCUUGCAGCCAAUAACCCUCCACCCAUAUCCCACAAAACCCACGACAAGUUCACAACAACACAGGUGCCAUUUUAUAAAAUCCCUCAUUGACGGACACAAGACAGCAGUAUGGACACUGCAGGAAGACAUGGAUCCAAGGGUUUAGUAAUGUAAAUGACAUCAUCUCACUAAGGCAGCAGGGUUUAACAGAACGCUUUUCCCAGAAUAGUGCCAUUUAUCCUGUGAUGGACAGUCGGAUACAUUUGACUUUAUAUCAUUUUUCUGUGAAUCGUAAAAAAAAAUGUAUUAUGAGGUUUAUCUAACAAGUAUUCCAUUUUUGUAACCUAACUUUGUGCUGUUUUUAAAGACAGUGUGUACAGUUUUGUGCAACAUUUGCAUAUUUUAGGGAUUAAUUUAAUGGUAUAUUUAUGGUGAAUUUUUAAGAAGCAUACAGACUACUAUUAAAUGUUCAGCAGCACAUUUUAAAUAAUCAGAUGGUUAUUUUCAUACAAUAAACUGCACAGGAGUAUUUUUACAUGUAGAAAUCUUGCCUCUUCAGUUGAAGAUACUGUAACGAUAUAUAACCCAAAAUAUCGUUACAUAAUCAAUAAACCUCCUCAAUCACAGUGAUAUUUGGGGGUUUUUUAACACACAGAAUGGCUAUACCCCUUUACUUUAUCAUUGUCCUUUUUUUCUUGAUGAAUGUUUUCUUGGCUGUAUAUGAUUUCAAAAAUAAAUCAUCUUGCAACAAAUGUUUAAUAACAGACUUUGAGAAAUGACAUUGACAUGCAUGAUUUGCAAACAUUAAGCAUUAAUCUGCUGUCAUCCAUGCAUCUGGCCACCACCAAACACCCAUUUUCACAAUGUGGAGAAGUGCAUGCUGGGAAAGGACUUUCAUGCACUUGUGCAGCUGUUGCACACUAAAGAAUCAGGGAUGCAGAUCGAGGCCUUAUCCAGGAGAAUUAACAACCUCACAUACUUACUCAGCCGAGACGAGCUGCUGAGAGGAAUGAGACGCAGCCAGACCGCCAUAGUGUGAUCGGCCUGCGCCGCAUUAACUCCACCGUCCCGCCAAGAGCAUACCUCAACCUAACCCACCUCACCCUCAAAGCUUCAGGACCUGAACUGUGUCACACAAUCCUGCAUAAUUCAGCUCAAGAACACAGCUCUAUUAUUUUUGAUAUUGUAUUACUAAUUAUUUUUGAUGCGUUAUGGGGUUAUAAUGUACUGUAUGACAAUCAGAUCUGAGUUAAAGAGCAAACAAAAAAAUAAUUUUGUGUAAUAUGCAGACAGCACUUUUCACAAAGCCUUUCUGUCAAUAGAUGAAAUCAUCUACCUCAACCAUUGUGUUCUUCUUAAAAUAUUGUAUUCAUAUAGCCAGUGGAACUGGAUGUGAGUAAAUCCUUCUGUUUGACGAACACUUUGUCAUUUUCUUAGGCUGUUUUACUUCAUUUUUUUCAAAGCUUGUUAAAAGCAGUUAGUUUUUUCAAGCAGAAAUGGUUGUUUGCUUGCUAUACCUCUGUUAAAUCCACCCCAAGAGUUAAAAGGGGUUUGUUGUAGUAGGGGGCUUUAUGCUGUGUAUGACGACUUGUCCAGUGUCCUACGUGUCCAAUGUGUCCCAUGACCCAACCGACAAACUUUGGGAGGUCCUUAUAUGACGGCUGAGCUUUAAAUGAGCAUACUUAUCUUAACAGGACUCCAAAGAAGAGAAGAAAAAUCCGCCCGCAGGUUCACUCUCGACCGAUACCAAGGAAAGAAUAAUAUUGUGUAUAAGGGAAACCACACUUUGAACUAGACCAGCUGGAAUGAAGCAAACAGAUCUCCAGUAUGAAGCCAAAACCAGCUUUUUCAGAACCUUGUGGGCUAAACCCAAUAAAACCACCUUGGCAGAACUCAUCCACCUCUUUAAUGACUGCAUCAGAGAACAAAGGAGUAUCUGCUUUUCAGGGACCCCGAGAACAAGUUCCACCCAAGUCCUUCAACCCUAAGUGAGAUCUUUCUGAUGACCUGCAUCCAGCGCAGCAGCCUGCUGAAUCAACUGCAUGGCCAUGACCCCAGAACAGAAGAUCCUGCUUGGUGCCCACUGGGUCUGGACCGUGUUGGAUCAGCCGAGCAAGAACCCCUGGUCCGUGUUUUUUCAUCAUCAUUUUCGAUAUUAUGGCAGACACUGCUGGACGGUCCAAUGUCCGGUUUGAAUAGGUCCAAUGAUAGCUUACUGUACAACCACAGCUGCAUGUGUUGAUGCCGUGCGAAGGCAUCUCCACAACUUUUUGAAAAAUACCACUUUAUUUG